rnacentral:rRNA from 1 species
CUGCCUACAAUGCAAGUCGACGGACCAGUAAUUUAUUAUUGGUUAGUGGCGAAAGGGUUAGGAAUAGAUAGGUAACGUACCCUGUGCUCCGGGAUAGCGUCAGUAGCUUCGGCUACUUUCCGAAAGGGGCGGUAAUACCGGAUAAUAUCAGUUGCCGACUGGGCAAUUGACCAAAGAUUUAUCGGCGCGGGAGCGGCUUAUCUCUUAUCAGCUUGUUGGUGAGGUAAAGGCUCACCAAGGCUAUGACGGGUAGCGGGACUGAGAGGUUGACCCGCAACAUCGGGACUGAGACACUGCCCGGACCUCCACGGAGGGCUGCAGUAACGAAUAUUGCGCAAUGGGCGAAAGCCUGACGCAGCGACGCCGCGUGUAGGAGGAAGUCUCUCGGGAUGUAAACUACUGUCAGGGGUUAGAAAGUUUUCGGAUUGAUCAGCCCCAGAGGAAGUCACGGCUAACUUCGUGCCAGCAGCCGCGGUAAGACGAAGGUGGCUAGCGUUGUUCGGUGUCACUGGGCUUAAAGAGUGUGUAGGCGGAUGUGUUAGCGUCUUGUGAAAUCCCUCGGCUUAACCGAAGAACUACUGGGCGAACUGCACAUCUUGAGGCAUGCAGGGGCCAGUGGAACUCUUGGUGGAGCGGUGGAAUGCGUAGAUAUCAAGAGGAACGCCAGCGGUGAAAACGGCUGGCUGGACCUGUCCUGACGCUGAGACACGAAAGCGUGGGGAGCGAACGGGAUUAGAUACCCCGGUAGUCCACGCCGUAAACGAUGUCUACUACGUGGUGGGGGUUCUGAUGCCGUCACGGGCGAACCAAAGUGCUAAGUAGACCGCCUGGGGAGUACGGUCGCAAGGCUAAAACUCAAGGAAAUGACGGGGCCUCCCACAGCGUGGAGCAUGUGGAUAAAUCGAAGCACGCGCAAACCUACUGGUUGACAGCAUGUAUGUUUCCGGAACAGCUAUCUGGCUCGGGUGAACUGCACAGUGCUGCUGCUGCGUCAGCUCGGUCCUGAAGUCAGCUAGUCAAU